ensembl:lncRNA
AUGAGGGCAAUUUGUGCUCUGUACAGCAUCACUAGGCAGGAUAUUCAGAUCAAGAAGUCUUCAUAAAAACCUUGAGUUGUGAAGAAGGAUGUUCUGAUAGAUAGUCUGUCAGAAAAAGAUCUCCAGCUGACAGAACGAGUUCUGCAAGAUGUAAACAGUCAGCUGGUAUUGAUUGUUUUGAAGUGGUUUUAUUUGAGUACAAAAGAUCCCACAGUGGGAAUAUGCUACAUGCUGUUCUGUUUAACCAGGGCUGAUGACUCCAUGUGGAAAGUGGGUGUCCACACUCUCAGCGGCACACAAAAAUAGACUAAAAUGAUUGUGAAAGCACCGUGCGGAAGUAACCACGGAAACGAGGCACAGUGAGGUGGAGCAGGGGCCACACUGAAGGGCAGGUUGAGCAUUCUAGCCAUUUAUAAUACUUGCAGCCGUUGUGCCCGAUUUAAAUGUCAAAUCAUCAGUUAAUGAGAAUUGGUUAAUGAGUCGAAGUUUACAAAUGAUAUUAAUUUGCAGGAACUUCUGUACUAGAUUAUAGGCAUCAGCUGUUUACUGUAAAGUGUGCAUCAGUGUAAAGUUUUUUAGUGAAACUAAAAAAAAAAAUCUUCACUGAACAUUAAAGAUUGAGAAUGUUUAUUUAGGGUGACCAUACAACAAUUGGUCUGCGCAGCGCCAACAAAGCCAAAACGUGGAUAUUUUAGGCAAUAUAAAAAUCCUGGCCAGGACGUGCCCUGGAAAAAUGGCAUGUAUGGUCACCCUCGUUUAUUAUCAUUGCAUGUGCCUGAAACUGACUGCACUAAUUACUGGGUCCAUUAGGUGGCAACACUCACAGUUAAGGUGUUGCUUGCAAAAACUACUCAACGAAGAUGAAAAAUGCCAAAAAACAACAAAGAUGAAGGUGGAAACGACAACAACAGACACAAGACAAGGCAAUAGGCAUCAGUCCUCUGGGAUCUACUGCAAACUCUCUCUCUUUUUUUAGACGUCAGUGCAUAGCUGAGUACAUUAAUCAAAGACGAUGAAGAGAAGAAGAACCUUGCAUUUUUAUUAGGGCUACCAAAGUUAACAUGCUUAAUCAAAUAUAUUUAAUGUCAAUUUUCACGCCAUUUAUGCACUUAUU